UACGGAGGGUGCAAGCGUUGCUCGGAAUUAUUGGGCGUAAAGGGUAGGUAGGUGGUCUCAUUUGUCUGGGGUGAAAGCCUUGAGCUUAACUCAAGAAGUGCCCCAGAAACGGUGAGACUAGAGUCCUGGAGAGGGUCGUGGAAUUCCCGGUGUAGCGGUGAAAUGCGUAGAGAUGUGGAGGAAUACCGAUGGCGAAGGCAGCCCCCUGGGCCAAUACUGACGCUCAUGCACGAAAGCGUGGGGAGCAAACAGG
rnacentral:rRNA from 1 species